rnacentral:rRNA from 1 species
UGCGUAGGCGGAAUAUUAAGUCAGUGGUGAAAUCCUGCGGCUCAACCGUAGAACUGCCAUUGAUACUGAUAUUCUUGAAUGUAGUUGAGGUAGGCGGAAUGUGUAAUGUAGCGGUGAAAUGCUUAGAUAUUACACAGAACACCGAUUGCGAAGGCAGCUUACUAAACUAUGAUUGACGCUGAGGCACGAAAGCGUGGGGAGCGAACAGGAUUAGAUACCCGAGUAGUCC